rnacentral:rRNA from 1 species
UACGUAGGGUGCAAGCGUUAAUCGGAAUUACUGGGCGUAAAGCGUGCGCAGGCGGUUAUGCAAGACAGAUGUGAAAUCCCCGGGCUCAACCUGGGAACUGCAUUUGAGACUGCAUAGCUAGAGUACGGUAGAGGGGGAUGGAAUUCCGCGUGUAGCAGUGAAAUGCGUAGAUAUGCGGAGGAACACCGAUGGCGAAGGCAAUCCCCUGGACCUGUACUGACGCUCAUGCACGAAAGCGUGGGGGGCAAACAGG